rnacentral:misc_RNA from 1 species
GAUGAAGAACGUAGCGAAAUGCGAUACGUAAUGUGAAUUGCAAAUUCAGUGAAUCAUCGAGUCUUUGAACGCACAUUGCGCCCCCUGGUAUUCCGUGGGGCAUGCCUGUCCGAGCGUCAUUGCUGCCCUCAAGCACGGCUUGUGUGUUGGGCCCCGUCCUCCGAUCCCGGGGGACGGGCCCGAAAGGCAGCGGCGGCACCGCGUCCGGUCCUCGAGCGUAUGGGGCUUUGUCACCCGCUCUGUAGGCCCGGCCGGCGCUUGCCGAUCAACCCAAAUUUUUAUCCAGGUUGACCUCGGAUCAGGUAGGGAUACCCGCUGAACUUAAGCAUAUCAAUAAGCGGAGGA